rnacentral:rRNA from 1 species
UGACGUCAAGUCAUCAUGCCCCUUAUGUCCUGGGCUGCACACGUGCUACAAUGGUCGGUACAAAGGGCUGCGAUACCGCGAGGUGGAGCGAAUCCCAGAAAGCCGGUCUCAGUUCGGAUUGGGGUCUGCAACUCGACCCCAUGAAGUCGGAGUCGCUAGUAAUCGCAGAUCAGCAACGCUGCGGUCGAAUACGUUCCCGGGCCUU